CCUACGGGUGGCAGCAGUGAGGAAUAUUGGUCAAUGGACGAGAGUCUGAACCAGCCAAGUAGCGUGAAGGAUGACUGCCCUAUGGGUUGUAAACUUCUUUUAUAUGGGAAUAAAACGUUCCACGUGUGGGAUUUUGUAUAUACCAUAUGAAUAAGGAUCGGCUCACUCCGUGCCAGCAGCCGCGGUAAUACGGAGGAUCCGAGCGUUAUCCGGAUUUAUUGGGUUUAAAGGGAGCGUAGGUGGAUUGUUAAGUCAGUUGUGAAAGUUUGCGGCUCAACCGUAAAAUUGCAGUUGAAACUGGCAGUCUUGAGUACAGUAGAGGAGGGCGGAAUUCGUGGUGUAGCGGUGAAAUGCUUAGAUAUCACGAAGAACUCCGAUUGCGAAGGCAGUUCACUGGACUGCAACUGACACUGAGGCUCGAAAGUGUGGGUAUCAAACAGGAUUAGAUACCCCUGUAGUC
rnacentral:rRNA from 1 species